AAUAAAUAAAUAAAUAAAAAAGGAGAUCCCAAAGAACUCUCUGGCUCUUUCUGCCAUGUGAGGAUACAAGGAACAGCGGGCAGUCUGCAAUGUGGAAGAGGGGCUGCACCAGAAGUGGAGCAUGCUGGCACCCUGAUCUUGAAUUUUCAGCCUCCAGACUGUGAGAAAUAAAUUUCUGUUGCUUCUAAGCUACCCAGGCUAUGGGAUUCUGUUAUAGCAACCUGAACUGAAUACAACACUGUGCACUAUCACUUCUUUCUUAUUUGUUAAAAGCAGGAACCUAAGUCCUGCCUGCACUUGAGUAGAAUUAGGCUCUUCCUUUUGAAGAAAAGAAUGUCAAAUAAUUUGUGGAAAUAUUUUAAACAUAACAUAAACAUACCACGAUUCCAUUCUUGUGUAUUUAUUCAAAAGAAAGCAAGCACACGUUCACAAAAAAAGGAUAUAUGUGAGAAUGAGCAUAGAAGUUUUGUUUUAAAACAGUAAAGAGCUUAGGCAUCCAUCAACAGAGAAUGGGUAAACACACUGGUAUAUUCAUACAAUAUCACGCAGAAGCAAAAAGAAACUACUGAUUGUGCAAAUAUACAAGAAUGCUAAAAAUGAUUCUCAAUAAAACAAGCCUAACACAUUUUAUUUCCUAUGUCUGAACCCAUAUAUAUGAAGUUCUAAAACAGCUAAUUUGUACUAUAUAAACAAAAUCAGAAAAGUGGUUGCCUCUAGACUUGAGAGAUGAGAACAUACUGUGAAGUACCAUGGGGGAAUUUUCUGUGGGCAUUACGGACACUCUGUAACUUGACAGGAAUAUGUUACACUAACACUAGUAUCUACAUUUAUUAAAACCCAUAGAAUAGUAUGCUUAAUAUUUAUGCUUGUCACUGUAUAUAAAUUGUACCCAAAAUGUAAAUAUUAAACACUUGAUAAGCAUUCUCACAAGUUACAUGUGAAAUAUGCUGCUAUCUGAAACUUACUAUGACAUAUAGAAAAAUAAGACAAACUAAUGGAUGCAUAGAGAGAUGGGGGUUGGAUGGAUAUAUAUGUAAUAAAGCAGGUCUAGCAAAAUAUUAAUAAUGGAACCUAUGUAGUACCUAUAUGGGUGCUCAUUGUCCAGUUGCUUCCUCUUUUCCAUAUGUUUAAACAUGAUUACCAUAAAAUGUUGGGGAAAUGUACUUGAAUAAUUUGGUUUGACCUCUUGUGAUUCUGCCACCGCUAUGAGGAGAGCAUGUCCAGGUUCACCUGCUGGUCUAAGGAAGAAGAGGGACAUCUGGAGCAGAUCUGAUCCCAAACAGUAGUGUGGAGGCCAGCCUGGCCAAUCCUUGAUAGAGUGGCCAAUCCCCAUAUGCACUGCAGAUGGGGACCUCCAAGGCAUGUCCAUCUCGAUGAGCUCAGGCCCGACAGUCUGGAGCCCAGAAGGCUGCUGCUUUUCAAGGGUGAUCAUUCAUCAAGACCCGAAGUCUCCUAGCCAAC
rnacentral:lncRNA from 1 species